rnacentral:rRNA from 1 species
UACGUAGGGUGCAAGCGUUGUCCGGAAUUAUUGGGCGUAAAGAGCUCGUAGGCGGUUUGUCACGUCGGCUGUGAAAACCCGAGGCUCAACCUCGGGCCUGCAGUCGAUACGGGCAGACUAGAGUGCUGUAGGGGAGACUGGAAUUCCUGGUGUAGCGGUGAAAUGCGCAGAUAUCAGGAGGAACACCGGUGGCGAAGGCGGGUCUCUGGGCAGUAACUGACGCUGAGGAGCGAAAGUGUGGGGAGCGAACAGG